AUGCGGUUCAAAAUGUUAUCCGGUAUUAGCCCCGGUUUCCCGGAGUUAUCCCAGUCUUAUGGGCAGGUUACCCACGUGUUACUCACCCGUCCGCCGCUAACUUCAUAAGAGCAAGCUCUUAAUCCAUUCGCUCGACUUGCAUGUAUUAGGCACGCCGCCAGCGUUCAUCCUGAGCCAGGAUCAAACUCUAAUCUCUAGAG
rnacentral:rRNA from 1 species